AUUUAAUUUAACGAGCUUCCUAAAUUAGGAAAACAAACAUCUUUAUGUUGUUAUCGAAUUUUGAAAGUUAACAUAUGUUCACUAACAUUUGUCAAAUAAAUCUUUCAUAUAGAAUACGUAACUGAGAUACAUCUUAACUAACAGAAACACAUUCUAUAUAGUUCACAUUAUGAAUUUUAUUUAUCAAAAAGUAUCUCAUCUUUCAUUUUCUGAUGCACUAAAGAAAGAAAAAAAUAUAUAUAGUAACUAAAUAGAAAGUGGGCGGAUUUGACUUGACCGGACAACAGUGACAUUUUUUUUUCUUUUUUCUUUAUUUUUUUAUUAGUUUUUCUCUCAUCAGAUCACAACUGGAGCUGUGUUAAGUUGAGGAAUGUUAUAAUAACCUUCGAUGUGACGUAUUUUUCAAAGAAUUUUCACAAGUGUAACUAAUACUUUUUGAUGUGGGGGAGAACAUUGACAUGUAACAGCUUGCUCAGGGUUAUUAUCAUUUUCCAUCGGUGCCUUGAUCGAUAACACAAUGUGUAAACAAUACGAAUUCAGCUUCGAUAUCAAGCAGAAGUAGGCGG
rnacentral:misc_RNA from 1 species